AAUGAUCUUAUGAUGAACUAUUUCGGAUGUAAACACAGACCUGUUCCGAACAGCGCAAAAACCGUGUGGAGAUUUCCGUUGCCUUCCUUCUGAUCAGAUCAU
rfam:Aspergillus nomius NRRL 13137 contig00120, whole genome shotgun sequence.